CGGAGGAAAAGAAACUAACAAGGAUUCCCCUAGUAACGGCGAGUGAAGCGGGAAGAGCUCAAAUUUGUAAUCUGGCCCUUUCAGGGUCCGAGUUGUAAUCUCGAGAAGUGUUUUCCGCGCCGGACCGCAUACAAGUCUGUUGGAAUACAGCGUCAUAGUGGUGAGAGCCCCGUAAUUGAUGUGGAUGCCCGGUGCUUUGUGAUACACUUUCGAAGAGUCGAGUUGUUUGGGAAUGCAGCUCAAAUUGGGUGGUAAAUUCCAUCUAAAGCUAAAUAUUGGCGAGAGACCGAUAGCGAACAAGUACCGUGAGGGAAAGAUGAAAAGCACUUUGGAAAGAGAGUUAACAGUACGUGAAAUUGUUGGAAGGGAAACGCUUGAAGUCAGACUUGCUAUUCGGAAUUCAGCCGCAAGGUGUACUUUUCGAUUUGCAGGCCAGCAUCAGUUUUUGGGGGUGGAAAAGGGUGGAGAGAAGGUAGCAACCUUGGUUGUGUUAUAGCUCUUUACUGGAUUCAUCUUUGGGGACUGAGGAUCGCAGUGCGCAAUUUACUUUGCAAACCUUUCGAGGUUUUCGUACUUAGGAUGCUGGUGGAAUGGCUUUAAACGACCCGUCUUGA
rnacentral:rRNA from 1 species